CCAACUUGACCUAAAAAUGUGACUUUGUGAUUUCUUGAUUUUUAAGGCACAAUGGUAGAUGUUUGAAGCUCGUAUGAUCAUAUCAUAAUUUAAAUUGAGGCCUUGAACUUUGUGGGAUGAUUUUAGGUCAAGUUCAUGGGUGAAAUUAAGGCAUUGAAAGUUCAAAGUUCAUGACCGAACCAUGUAUUUGAAACAUGAAUUGAAGUAAUGUUUGAAUAGUAAAUUAUGGUUGAAAAAUAC
rnacentral:lncRNA from 1 species